GAGCGAACGUUAGCGGCGGGCCUAACACAUGCAAGUCGAGCGAGAAAGGGGCUUCGGCCCUGACUAAAGCGGCGGACGGGUGAGUAACACGUAGGUAAUCUUCCCUUGAGCGGGGGACAACGUUUCGAAAGGAACGCUAAUACCGCAUACGUUUCCAGAGACUCUGGUCUUUGGAAGGAAAGCUAGGUCGGGCGUUAAACCCCGGUCCGGCACUCGAGGAGGAGCCUGCGUCGCAUCAGCUAGUUGGUGGGGUUAAGGCCUACCAAGGCGAAGACGCGUAGCUGGUCUGAGAGGAUGAUCAGCCACACUGGGACUGAGACACGGCCCAGACUCCUACGGGAGGCGACGCACGUGGGGAAUAAUUGGACAAUGGGCGCAAGCCUGGAUCCANCCACGCCGCGUGAGUGAUGAAGGCCU
rnacentral:rRNA from 1 species